CCUACGGGUGGCAGCAGUGGGGAAUAUUGGGCAAUGGGCGCAAGCCUGACCCAGCAACGCCGCGUGAAGGAAGAAGGCUUUCGGGUUGUAAACUUCUUUUGUCAGGGAAGAGUAGAAGACGGUACCUGACGAAUAAGCCACGGCUAACUACGUGCCAGCAGCCGCGGUAAUACGUAGGUGGCAAGCGUUGUCCGGAUUUACUGGGUGUAAAGGGCGUGUAGCCGGGUUGACAAGUCAGAUGUGAAAUCCUGCGGCUUAACCGCAGAACUGCAUUUGAAACCGUCGAUCUUGAGUACUGGAGAGGCAGACGGAAUUACUAGUGUAGCGGUGAAAUGCGUAGAUAUUAGGAGGAACACCAGUGGCGAAGGCGGUCUGCUGGACAGCAACUGACGGUGAGGCGCGAAAGCGUGGGGAGCAAACAGGAUUAGAUACCCCAGUAGUC
rnacentral:rRNA from 1 species